ACCAAAGAGUAUGAAUCCUUGCAGUCACGAAAACUUCAACUCUAGAAUGUUUGCCACCACCACACAAAAUGUCCCUUGACCUUGUUGGAUCUUGAGAGCGAAGCCAUGGCAGGUUUUCCUCCAGCACUACAGAUGUCUCCCACACGGUAAAAGAAAAAAACCCCUAAACGAAACACGAGGUUCAUUGGACAGCAAUCCAAUGUAGCAAGACCCUUCCGAACAGCGUGUCUUCAAGACUCGGCGAGGCAUUCCUGCUUAAAGUAAUAGCCGGGGUCCAAUGCUCCGCGGCGAGAACCAAAAAUGGAAGAGCGUGCGCGUGUAGAAACAAGUUUCCGAAGAAGGCGGUUGUCCCGUGAGUUUGGCUUGAGAUGUUUGACAGGUCCCUGCCAAGUGUGGGGAACAAUGAUUCCCAGGGCACGCACAGCGAGAGGGCAGAACUCAUGACUGCGCACCGCGUUGGAAACCUUUUGGCAGCUGCCACCAACGUCCCCCCGAUGUGCUUAUUGACUUUGGUCUAACGGAAUUUGACCAUUUGACGGCCGGCGGUCAAGACUACCGAUGGAAUCAUAGCCGAAAGAGGAAACACGCCCAAACGCCCGAGAGGCCGUCAACCGUAGAGAUGGAGCGUCGAGAUCGGCUCAUGCGCGGGGCGCUGGGUGGAUUCUCGUAUCGCGUGACUGUGAGCCAUGGCGACCGCUUGGGGAACCCUUCACGACAGCUUCGACGAUGAUGAAGAACACUCGGAGCCGACUGGAAUCAAGCGCUAAUCGCGAGCUGAGUUGAGUGAUGAAAAAAAAUUGGACCUCAAGUGCGUAACUUAAGAUGGCAAAAAACGUGCGAUAUACAUUUCCUCCUCAGCGUUUUCCCACGUCGUCAACUCGGAGAGCCUUACACGGGGUGUCUGCGUACAUGCUCAAUAAUAAAAAGUUUCCUGAAACAUUUUAAUGUUCUUAUUCUAAGCUUUAAAUCCACACGCGCGUCCUUCCUAAACCGUAUGUCGUUGCUCAAAACACGUGUUUAGUUUGUUGGAUUUCCUUGUCGUUUU